rnacentral:rRNA from 1 species
GGUGUUGAUUGCCGCGAGGGUCCACCCGUUCCCAUCCCGAACACGGAAGUUAAGCUCGCCGGCGCUGAAGAUACUUGGCUGGAGACGGCCCGGGAAAAUAGGUUUUCGCC